GCCGCGGGGCCUUCUGGGAAAUGUAGUCUUGCUCGCUGGCGGGGCAGGUGAGAAAGACAGAUGUGGAGUUUUCUGAGCACUUGCUUUUGGAGCCGCUCGGUCCAGCAUUUCAGCGAGGUGCCCCGAGGUCAAAGACAAGUUCUGCGUGCGCAUUCUCCCAUUUCUUGCCUGUUUGGGGAGGUUACAGCCAAUUGGCUAGGAAAAAUCCUGGGCUCCAGUCCAGGAAUCAAGCUGCCUAGCCUGAUUCCUGCCUGCCUCUCUCGGCCUCUGACUCGGUGCAGAGGGACCUCGGCUCUCUGCCCCUUAAUUUUCUUUUAGUUCCUUCGAUCAAUAGCUCCUGGGAACGUGUUCAGCCGUUGCAGUACAUCAAAAGAAAUUGCAGACUGACUGUUGUGCUGCAGUCCUGGAAAGCAAUCAAUCAAAUUAGAACAGACCGUGUAAAGAAGAAAAAGAAUAGAUUCCAACCAAGAAUUAACAUCAAAAGUAGAAAAGGGGAACAUCAUAUCUGAUUCUUUAGCAUUAAGAAGAUGCAUAAGAGGAUAUAAACAAUGUUAUGUAUAUACAUUUGAAAAUUUAGAUGGAAUAGACAAAUUUCUAGAAAACAAAACAAAACAAAACAACCCACACCUAAAAGGACACAAGAAGUAAUUGAAAAUUGGAAUAAUCCUAUGACUAUUAAAGAAAUUGAAACUAUAAUAUAGAAAUCUUCUUAUGAAGAAAAGUCCAGUCCCAAAUGGUGUGAAAUCUACUCAACUUUAAGGAAGAAAUAAUACCAACAAUACACAAUUUCUUCUAAAGACCAGAAAAAAGAAGUAACAUUCUCUGAAUGACUGGAGAGACUAAAAGAACAUGAAUACCAACACAGGAGAAGCCCUUGCCUGACCCAAAGGCACAAAGAUUAAUGCCUAUGUUUUCUUCUAAGAAUUGAAUCGUUUUAGCUCCUAUUUAGGGCUUUGAGUCAUUGAGUUAAUUUUUUUAUAUGGUGUGAAACAGGGUCCAACAUCUUUCUUUUGCAGGUAGGUAUCCAGUUGUCCCCAAAACCUUUGUUUAAGAUGUGUUCCCCCAUUAGAUUGUCUCGGCACCUUUUCAAAAAUGAACUGACCAUAAAUAUAAGAGUUUAUUUCCAGACUCUUGGUUCUAUUUCAUCAACUUAUAUGUCUAUCCUUUGCCAGUACCACACUGUCUUGAUUACUGUCUGCUUUGUAGCAAGUUUUGAAAUCGGGAUGUGUAAAUCCUCCAACUUUGUUCUUCUUUGUCAAGAUUAUUUUAAGAUAUUUUUGGCCUUUGAAUUUCCAUAUGAAUUUUAGAAUCAGCUUAUCGAUUUCUCUUAAAAGAGGCAGCUGGGAUUUUGAUGGAGAUUGCAGUGAAUCUAUAAUAGUAAUGUCAUCUUAAUAUUAUUACAUCUUCUGACCCAUGGACAUGGAAAUAUUUUUCCAUUUAUUUAGGUCUCUUAAAAUUUGUUUUAACAACACUUCAUAGUAUUCAUUGUGUAAAUCUUCUCAUACUUCUUUUGUUAAAUUUAUUCCGAAGUAAUUUAUCCUUUUUUAUGCUGUUGU